CCUUCCCUUUCUCCCUCUACCUACCUCUGUCUCCCUCCCUCCUUCUCUCCCUUCUCCCUCCCUCCGUCUUCCUCCCUCCCUACCUCCCUCCCUCCCUUUCUCCUUUCUCCCUCUCCCUCCCUCCCUCUCUCCUCCUUCCCCUCCCUCCCCUCUCUCCCCUCUCUCCCUCUCCCUCCCUCUGUCUCCCUCCCCUCCUUCUCUCCCUCUCCCUUCCUCCAUCUCCCUCCCUCUCCCUCCCUCUCCCUCUCUCUGGAACUCUGGCUUUCAAAUAAAUAAAUCUUAAAAAAAAAAAAAAUGAUGGCUGCAAAGUCUUCCCAAUGCCCGUCAUGGAGAUGUGGGUCUCAGUUUCCCUCCCUGUUGGAGCUGGCAUGCCUGGUGACUUGCGCUGGUCAAGAGAACGUGGCAUCGUCACUGUGGGGCCCUCAGAGAGGUGGCUUCUGUGGGCCUUUGAGCCGCAUAACUUCUCAGAGCCCAGGCGCUGGGCGGGGAGGACCCCUGCCCACAGGGUGGGGGAGGCCCACACCCACCAGCAACCCCAGCACCGAUGGCCGGACCGUGCCCGCCUGCCUUGGCGGUCACGUCCUCCCCUCGCCAGCAGAAGUGGUCGCCGAGCCCCAGGGGGCGUAUUCAGCACUGGACGUGUGGCUGAUACAGGAUGGGCUCUGCUACCUUAGGCUUCCUCUGGCAAGAAAGACGAGGCGGACCCUGUAAUGGCCUCCCUGCGUCCAUCCUCAUCCUGGUUCUGCCUGCUGGCCGCUUCUCACUCAGGGACGCCGCUGUCAAAUGCAGUAAGAACAUGUCACACUCGUGCCUGAAAAUCCACGAUGGCUCCCCGGCCCCCUGCACCACGCUCCCGGGGCCUGAGGCACUGGACAAGGAAGCAGUGGCGGGGGAAACAGCGCCCCCUGGAACUGCACGAAGCCACGGAGGCGAGACAGCCACACAGGACGUUGGCAGGAAGGGUCGAGAGGACGCCUUCCGCGUGCUCAAAAGGCUGAUUUCAUCCACUUAGGUUCUAAAAAAAAAUUGCUGGUAGUCCCCUUUGAGAAAGCAGAAAAAGAGAAGAAGGGAGAAUGCCCGGGUUAUCAUCAACUACUUUUCAUUAACAAUAUUUUGUCUUUCAUUGUGAUAAAAUACACAUAAUAGAACAUUUACCAUCUGAACCUGUGUUAAGGGCACCAUUGAUUCUGUGACAUUAAUUAGCAUAUUCACAGUGUUCGGCACGUGUCCUCUCCCCCAGCUGACACUGUCCCAGGGAACCCAGCAACCCCCCCACCACGCCCCUUCCUGGCUCUGUGGUUCUGGCUCCUAGAAACCGCCCACAAGCAAAGUCCUUUGUUGACUGGCUGGUUUCGUUAGUGUAAUAUCCUCAAGGCUCAUCCAUGCGGGAGAAGGUGUCCGAGUUUUGCUGGUGAGUUCAUCUGAUGACGGACGCUUACGGACGCUUGGGCUGCUUCCGCCUCUGGGCUAUUGUGAAAAAAUGCUGUGAUGAACAUGGGUGUGCAAAUAACCGGGUCUCCCCUUUCAAUUCUUUGGGGGUGUCUGCCAGAAGUGGGACUGCUGGGCCAGAUGAUAAUUCUAUACCUAAUUUUUUGAGGAGCCGCCAAAAUGUUUUCCUUAGUGAAAAAAAGUGUAUUCUAACUACUAUAAAGUUAUUUCCAAAAACCCUCGCUGGUGCUUUACAACAAAACCAAACCGUGCCAGAGGAAGUGAGUUGUUGAAGGUACUGUUUCUUGUGCAUCGUUGUAGAACAUUCCUAAGCAUAUGCAAGCUGUGGGCGUGUGCAGUUUUCUUACACAACCAGGAUCCUCCUAAGCUAGGUAUUGCAUUGACCUUUUUUUUUUUUUGACAGGCAGAGUGGACAGUGAGAGAGAGAGAGACAGAGAGAAAGGUCUUCCUUUUUGCCGUUGGUUCACCCUCCAAUGGCCACCGCGACCAGCAUGCUGCAGCCAGCGCACCACGCUGAUCCGAUGGCAGGAGCCAGGUGCUUCUCCUGGUCUCCUAUGGGGUGCAGGGCCCAAGCACUUGGGCCAUCCUCCACUGCACUCCCUGGCCACAGCAGAGAGCUGGCCUGGAGAAGGGGUAACCAGGACAGAAUCUGGCACCCCGACCGGGACUAGAACCCGGUGUGCCGGCACUGCAAAGCAGAGGAUUAGCCUAUUGAGCCAUGGCGCUGGCGCAUUGACUUUUAAAACACAGAGGGAAAGGUUUGCCAUUUGCUGGUUCACUCCCCAACUGGCCACAACGGCCAGAGCUGUGCCAAUCUGAAGCCAGGGGCCAGGAGCUUCUUCCAGGUUUCCCACAUGGGUGCAGGGGCCCAAGCACUUGGACCAUUUUCUACUGCUUUCCCAGGCCAUAGCAGAGAGCAGGAUUGGAAUUGGGGCAGCGGGGACUUGAACCGAUGCCCAUAUGGAUGCCAGCACUGCAGGCAGAGUUAGCCUCCUAUGCCACAGCGCUGGCCCCAGCACACUGUUUUCAAGGUUGAUCCAUCUUGGACCAUGUGUCAGUACUUUAUUCCUUCUUAUGGCUGAAGCACAUUGCGCUGUAGGGAGAGACCACGUUUUCGUCACUGUUGGUUAUUAAGAAUAACACUGCUGGAGCUGGUGUUGUAGCACAGCCGGAUGUGAUGCCAGAAUCCCAUAUGGGCGCAGGUUCAAGUCCCAGCUGCUCCACUUUCGAUCCAGCUCCCUGCUAACGUGCCUGGGAAAGCAGCAGCAGAAGGCCCAAGUGCUUGGAGCUCUGGCACCCACGUGGGAUACCGGGAUGGAAUUCCAGGCUCUUGGCUCCGGCCUGGCCCAUCCCUGGCCAUUGUGGCCAUCUGGGGAGUGACCCAGCGAAUGGAAAAAUCUCUUUGUCUCUCCCUCUCUGUUAACUCUGCCUUUCAAACAAAUAAACAAAUCUUAAAAAAAUAAUAAUGCA
ensembl:lncRNA